rnacentral:rRNA from 1 species
AACAAAGGGAAGCAAGAUCGUGAGAUGGAGCAAAUCCCAGAAAUAACGUCCCAGUUCGGAUUGUAGUCUGCAACCCGGCUACAUGAAGCUGGAAUCGCUAGUAAUCGCGGAUCAGAAUGCCGCGGUGAAUACGUUCCCGGGUCUUGUACACACCGCCCGUCACACCAUGGGAGCCGGUAAUACCCGAAGUCAGUAGUCCAACCACGUGAGGACGCUGCCGAAGGUAGGAUUGGCGACUGGGGUGAAGUCGUAACAAGGUAAC